rnacentral:lncRNA from 1 species
UUCAAUGUUGGCUUUAUGGAUCCAUCACUGAUUAACCAAAAGCAGAUACGGGAUCAGCUAAAGAAAACAUUGGAGGUAGUAUACAAUUUCAUGGACAAACAAAAUUACAAGGAAUACAUACUACUGCCAUACAACUUUGAGUAAGUGCGGGUACCAUCUAUUUUAGUUUUCUUUUUUUUCCUUACCUAAUUAAUGUUAGUUAGCUCUAAUAUGAACAUUUAUGUAUGAUUCAUUAUUUUAAU